UGCCAGACUCCUACGGGAGGCAGCAGUGGGGAAUAUUGCACAAUGGGGGGAACCCUGAUGCAGCGACGCCGCGUGGGUGAAGGAGCACCUCGGUGCGUAAAGCCCUAUCGGCAGGGAAGAAACAGACGGUACCUGACUAAGAAGCCCCGGCUAACUACGUGCCAGCAGCCGCGGUAAUACGUAGGGGGCAAGCGUUAUCCGGAUUUACUGGGUGUAAAGGGGGCGCAGACGGCAGCGCAAGCCAGGAGUGAAAGCCCGGGGCCCAACCCCGGGACUGCUCUUGGAACUGCGCGGCUGGAGUGCAGGAGGGGCAGGCGGAAUUCCUGGUGUAGCGGUGAAAUGCGUAGAUAUCAGGAGGAACACCGGUGGCGAAGGCGGCCUGCUGGACUGCGACUGACGUUGAGGCCCGAAAGCGUGGGGGGCGAACAGGAUUAGAUACCCUUGUAAGA
rnacentral:rRNA from 1 species